GGUGGGUUGGCUCAGUGGUUAGAGCGUAGGUCUCGUAACCGAAAGGUUGCGGGAUCGAAUCCCGCUAGAGGUUG
rnacentral:tRNA from 1 species